CUACAGACUUAAUUGGAUUGAGUCUUGGUAUGGAAACCUACUAAGUGACAACUUUCAAAUUCAGAGAAACCCUAGAAUGAAAAAUGGGCAAUCCUGAAUCAAAUCCUAUUAUUUUAUUAUUUUACGAAAAUAAACAUGAACAAAGGUUCAGCAAGCGAGAAUAAAAAAAAAAGAUAGGUGUAGAGACUCAAUGGAAACUAUUCUAACAAAUGGGAUUGACUGUUGGUAAAGGAAUCACCUUAGAAAAUGUCGCAUUGGAACUCAGGCUCCUGGUUCAUGGUGGUUAUACAAUCACGGGUUUAAGUAUAACUAGGGCUCCCAGUUGACGGUAGUUAUGCGUCCACGGG
rnacentral:ncRNA from 1 species